UAUAUAUAGCUAUAACUAUGUACAAUAAAAAUAGAAAUGCCUUUCCCGUAUUUUCUGAAUAAGAUGGUGUAGUGAGGUAGAAUGAUGGCCAGCACCCAGAAGGAUAUGUUCAGUUAGUAUCUCAGAAACCUAUGAAUGUGACCUUAUUUGGAGAAAGAAUCCUUGUAGCUGUAAUGAAAUUAGGGAUCUCAAGAUGAGGUUGAGAUCAUCCUGGAUUAUCCAUGUGGGCCCUAAAUCCAAUGACAAGUGUCCUUAAAAAAGAUACACAGAAGAGAGACACACAGAAAGAGGAAGAGAAGCUCAUGUGAAGACAGAGACAGAGGUUGGACUUAUGCAACCACAAGCAAAGAAUUCCUGGAACCUCUAAGAUGCUGGAAGAAGCAAGGAAAGAUUUUCCCAUGGAGCCUUUAAGGAAAGUGCAGCCCUGUGGGUCUUUGAUUUUAUUUAUUUUAUCUUAUUUGUAUUUUGGGCCUUUGAUUUUAGACUUCUAGCUCCAGACGUGUGUUAGAAUACAUUUUGUUGUUUUAAGUCACAAAGAUUGUGGUGAUUUGUUAUGUUACCGCCAGGAAAUAGGAUAUUAUUUUGGUGCAUUAUUUGGUACAGGAGAAGACAGUCUGAAUUGUAGCAGAACCUCUGAGUCUGUAAUGUUAGAACCACCCAGAUCUGUGUGAACAUUUUCAAGUGCAAACUGACUAUGUUCCACACCAUUGCCUUCACAGAUUACAGAAGAAAGUUAGGAACAUCUGAUGAAACUCCUUGUUUACAAAGAGUAGACUUUGCAUGUCUCUGUAUUGUACCCCAACCCCAAAACACACACACAAAAACACGCAUACUACUUACCAGAGAAGUUUAAAAUAAAAGAGUAUUACGAAACUAAGCUCUGCUUAAGAUACUAUAUCUUCAAAUUCCAUGCUGUUGGUGGGUAUCCAAGACUUCAAAAAAUUCCCUACGGUUCUAUGAGUCAGUGAUAUCUUCAUAUUCCAAUCACCCUUGGGACUUCAGAAGAGCCAAGGUUUGUGCAGAUGAGGUACUGAUUGGCAAAUAUCCUGUGUCCUUUGCCUACUGGUGGCUCUUUCAAGAAGUUCCCUGAAUGGUUGUCACUCUGCUCAUCUCAAAUCAGGUUUACCAGCAGAAUAGACUUUCUAACUCACAAUUUCUCUGAAGCUUCUAUUUUAUCCAGAAUCAUCACUCACUUUCUUCAUAGCACUUAAUGCAAUGCCUAACUUCUAAUUAUUUGUUAAUUUCUAUACUGAUUGAUCAUUUUCCUCACUAGACAAGGAUCUCCAUGAGGGCAGUGACCAUAACUGUUUAGUCCAUUAUUAGUAUGAUGCUAGGUCCAUAGUAAACAUUAAAUAUUUUGUUGACUAUUUGUUGAAUUUAAGACUCCUGAUCUCCCUUACUAGGUACAAAUUUUUCAAUGGUGGAAACUUUCAAUAUAAUUGAUAUAUUUUAUCCCUGAGAGAAGAAGGAAUACAUUGCAAAGCUGUGAGACCAGGGGACCCAUUUCCUAGUAUAUUUAUUGUCUUUGAGUAAUUAUAUUUAAGAUGCAUAUGUUUUACCAAGAGAUGUAUAAAGAUUAUAUAGUAAUGAAGGAGGGAAAAUAAAGUAAAAGGAGACACAGGUCUGGCUUUGAGUACCUUCUACCCUGGUGCAAGAGACAGAUAUGUGUAGCAGAAAUACAUGCAGGUGGAAUGAAAAAGUGCCUUGAGGGCACAGUGGUGGGGGGAGAACAAGCCACACUAGGAAAAGGAAGAACCCAGGAAGGCUUCACAGAAGAGGCUGCUUUUAAAAUGGAACUUAAGGAUACAAAGGAUUUUGCAGGCAGAAAGAGAGCAAAUGAAGGGAGAAGGAGACUGGAAAUUUCAAGGGAUGGAACUGCCAGAACCACAAAGAACAGACACCACACUUUGAAGCGUUUGUUAAGGAACAUAACACAGCCUGAAUGUGUCAACCAGCAAACACCCAACCUCCAUAGAUUGUGAUUUUUCUAGUCUUGGCUGUUUAGAGAUGUCCUCAAUGCAUUUUACUUUUGGAGAGAAGGGUGGUGACAGUAAGAGAUAUACUUGUAUUUCUCUUUUAUUAGUUUGUUUUAGACCGUAUGCUUUAGACUGGAAGAAAGAUGCAUAGCUUUUUCCUUUCAUAGAUCUGAAAGCAAAUACUCUUUCUUCUCACAAGCCUCAGUCCACAUUUUCCAAGCCUACAUUCCCUGCUGACAGUUAUUAUGUGUUUUAAAAAUGAUGUAAAUUUUAAUCUUAGAGAAACCCACAAUUAGGAAGAUCUGUCUGUAAUCAGAAACAUCCAUGGUUUGCAUGUGACCUUGCUCCAUUUUGGUAAUACCCAUCACAGAAAAUUGAGGUUCUCUGGCUAAAGCACUUUCCACAUAUCUUCCUGGACACCUUAUAUAGAGCUGGAUCCUAAUAAAUGCUCACAAUGGGCUUGGCCUCCUGGGAGGCACCGAUGCAUCUCUAGACUGUAAGGGAAAACCUUUCCUUUAAUGCUCAGAUACAAAGAGUUUGAGUUGAAAACCUCAGUUGAAAGUUCAGCUACAUUAUGUCCUCUUUUAUAGCAAAUGAGAUCCAAGUAAAUAAAGUUGAAACUUCAUUCAGAAAUAGAAACUGUUUAGAGGGAAUUGUGUAAACUGAUAGAAAAACUUGCUCUGUGGUACACAGAUUCCUGAGAAACAGAACAAACUCACCUGAGAAUACAGAAGUUGCCAUUUUCAGCCAGCAAGAAAUGAUACUUUUGAUCACAUGCUAUAUUUUUUUUUUACCACCCAUAUUGAGGAAACAGACCCAAAUAAAACAGUGAAAUAGAGUAAUUUUUGUUCUUUAGGGUGCUACAUUUUCUACCAAAGCCCUGAAUAUUAUUUCCUUUAAUCUCUGUCCAUCCUAUUCUCUAAUAAAGCUUAUUUUUCCCCCGUGUCCCAGUUUCUCUUGGCAAUAUAUUAAACAUGGCCCCCAAAAAAGUUCUAACUACUCCUUUAUGCUCUAAGUAAUUUUUCACUUCCUUUAAGAAUUUUCCAUAUUCCUCCCCGAGGAAUUUUUCCCACUCUAAUAGUUAGUUAUGCCACUUUUGUUUCACAUGAUCUCAGGGUUUGAUUAUAGUUAUUAAUUUAACUCCUCCUUCUUUAAUAAAAUAUAGACCUCCCAGGGCAGGAGCUGUGUCUGUCUUUUCAGUUUCCCCCAUGAUUCUUAGAAAGACUGAUUUCUCCAUGGUUCAUCAAAAUGAACCAUAAAUGAUUUGUGGACAGUGGUGUUUACCUGCCUCCUCAGAUUUCAUUUCUGCAUUCCUCAAAGCCCAUCAUUUCCAUUUCAGGAUCUAUGUCAUUCUCAAGAUGUUCACUUCAUGCCUCAAUUUCAUGAUGGGAUUCUAAACUUGGGUUAAGUUAAACUGAGUGGUAUAUUUCAUUCCUCAUCUUAUACCUAAUUAAAAUAAUUGAUUCAAUAUGAACACAUGACUCAGAUGGUCCACUCAGAAAGAAUUUCAAGAUUUCUUCGAGGAAAAGGCAAAUCUUCUUGUGUUGUUUUUGUUUUUGCUUUAACCGUACCAUGCAGUUUGCAGGACCUUAGUUCCCUGACCAGGGAUCAAACCCAUGCCCCCUGCAGUGGAAGCGUGGACUCCUAACCAUUGGACUGACAGGGAAUUCUCCAAAUUCUAUUUUUUUUUUUUUUUUUUACAAAGUAGAGUGAGUAUAUUUGAGACUUAGAAGUGCUACAGUGAUUUUACUACCAUAACAGAAAUCAACAUAUUUUAGGCUCUUGAUACUGAUUAAGUGGUAGCUUGGCAGUGGACAUUUAACUAUCUAGUAUAUGAAAUAAGUUCUAAUAGCAGAAAAAAAAAAAAAAAACCCAGAAGAUCCCCUAAUCAAAUUUUGUACCACUAAAAUCUGGUAAUUAAAGAAGUUAAAGUUUUACCCAGUUUGCCUUCAUAAAACUGUUACUACGGUAUUUCCUCAUUGAUAAUAUGGAACCACUAGUGAGAUAAAGUAUGUAAAGCACUCAGCAUGUGCCUUGACCCUGAGUGGCCACCCUAUCAAUCUCAUUAGUUUCCCUUUCUUUUCUGUGCAGGGGUCUUUUUCCGAAACAACAAACAAACAAAAAACAAUAAAAACCCUGAAAUAUAUCAAUAACUCAAAAUUCUUAUAAGAGCAUGUUCUGAAGAACUCAGAAUAAAAAUAAAUAAUACUUAGGAAUGAAACCUCAUCCUCCAACUUUCAUGAGGAGACAACUAACCCAAACCAGGACUCUGGUAUUUUGGGGACUCCUAGUGCUUGAGAUACAGAUUAAUGGGAAACCAUUUCAAAUAACCUAAUGACUUAUCCUAUUUCUACACAACAAACCAUGGUGUAACAGUAUUUGCUACACAAAAGGGCAGGUUAGGACACAAAGAAAUAUAAACUCUCAAUUUCUUGAAUUAGAUCUUCGCAGUAAAAAGUACAAUAUGGAUAAUGUAAAGGAAGAAACUUCAGUUUGAUUUACCGAAAGAUAUUUGGAUAAAUUCAAGUUUGCUUCUUUUUGGAUUAUUGAACUGCCUAAAAAGUUGUAAAACCAGCAAUUACUUUCCAAAAGUUCCAAAACUCCUAUUACAAACCCAACACUCUAGAAUCUAGUAGCCUGUAAAGGGAAAGAAAGUGAAAGUCGCUCAGUCGUGUCCAACUCUUUGCAACCUCAUGGACUAUACAGUCUAUGGAAUUCUCAGGCCAGAAUACUGGAGUGGGUAGCCGUUCCCUUCUCCAGAGGAUCUUCCCAACCUAGGGAUCAAACCCAGGUCUUCUGCAUUGUAGGUGGAUCCUUUACCAGCUGAGUUAUCAGGGAAGCCAGCAGCCUGUAAGCCUACAUAGUAAUCAUCUUCUACCAAAUUACCUUUUAUUUUGUCAUAAUGCGAGAAAAACUCUCUCUGUUUUUAUUCCUGAAUUCUUUUAGAGCCUUAAAAGAAAAAUAUAGUCCUUAACAGUCAAGUUAACUUGUUAGUUCCAUUAGCAAAACUGUAAACUAUCCCUCUUUCAAUGAUCAUAGUUAAAUGUAAUAAAUUACAGGAUAUAGGAGGAAAAUAGCCUGAGCCUGGGUCCUAGCGCUGCCACUUAUUGGCUGUGUACAUCUCUUCACUUUAAAAUACCCCUUCAGCUUUAUAGAUGAUAAUACAUGCCCUGCCAAAACCAUAGGCUCUAAGAGAGUAAAACCUGAUCCUACCAACAUUUGCCACCAAAAUACCUGCCAUAAAACCUAUCCCUCACUGCAUCGCAGAGGAAAGUCUAGAAACUCAGGUCCAGGAGGGAAGAAGAGGAUGAAACAAAAGACAUGCAGAAAAUAGUAGAAAAGCCAUUGGCUUUGUGGCCAAAAAUGACCGUAUGUUAAAUCUGAUACUAUAAAAUUAUCAGUUUGAACUUAAGCAAUUUAUUUAGUCUCUCUGGGUUCAUUUCCUCUGUGUAAUGGAGAUUACACUAACAACAUUGCAGAAUUGUUAAAUGAAACAACAAAGAGAUGUAAAGGGUCCAGUGUAGAGGCUUGCAUUGAGAACUUCUUAAUAAAUGGUAGCUGAAAUGACACAGAAUAGUCAAGUAGAGAAAUAAGGUUUCAAUCACAUAAAUAUGUAAUUAAUGGGUAUUUUGCACAGUGAAUUAAAGGUUCUUUAGCAACAAGGCAGCAUAUAUUGAAGAUGACAUAUAUUUAAAGUGAUGGAACAAUUGCACAUAUAGAGUCUGGGAACUUUCAUUAAGUAAUAAGGCUCAACAAAGACACGUUUAACACUGGAACCACUUAAAACCCAGAAGAAUACUUAGAAGAGUCUAGGCAGCAAAAAAGGAAGAGAAAUCUAAACGAGACCUGAGAGAUAUGCCUUGGAGACCCUGGCUAAAGUAUAUGUAUGUGUGAUUUUUUUUAACAGUUUAUCCAUAAGAAAGCAUUAUAAAUUGGCACCAAAAUCUAAUGGUACUUUAUCUGAAUUUUCUUAUAUGUAAUGUUAUUUUACUUGAUUGGUAUCAUACUGUGUAUAUUUGUGACAGGGCAUUUUUGCCCAGUUCUUCACUCUUCCCUUUAUGCACACCCUUUGAAGUAUGACUUUGCAGUCCUUCCCACCACAGAAACAGCUCCCUUGACUUUGCAUUUGGCCAAGUGACUUGCUUUGGGCCAAAGACUAAGGCGGAAAUGAUGGUGUGAGAGUUUCUCACUUAGACCUUAAGAGUUGGUAUUUCUGCCCAUCCCCAUGGCUCUGCCAUUACCCUGAGAAGAGCAUGCUGGGCUAGUACCUGGUCCCAGGAGGAGAAUGAGAGACACAGAAAGUGGAGCUAAACCAGAGUCCAGCCUCAGGCAGCAGACACAGAUGCUGGAGCAAGACCAAGUGAGAUUUGGAAAGCCAACCAGCUGGGCCUAGACCAAUUGAUUGACCCUUAGCCAAUACACAGUUCCAAAAGGAUAAACACUUGCUCGUAAUAUUUCUGAGUCUUGAGAUGACUUAUCACACAACAUUUUGCUGGCAGUAUCUAGCCGAAUACAAUGUUUUUAAUAGGUGUCUUGUUUUUAAAAAUAAUGUCCCCGUCUGCUUACACAUUGCCACCAGAAAGGCAACUAUUCUUUGCUAUCUUUCAGGUAUCAUCAAGUUUAUGGGGUUUUUUUUUUUUUAAUAGUUUUGAUUCAUAACCAGAUACAUUAUCCAGAGAUGCAGAGAAAGGUUGUGUGAAAAAAAAUGUGAGUGGUAACUGGCUAUUUGACAAUGUUAAAGAUUUAUUUGGGGCAAAAUGAUAGUAUUAUGGUUAUGUUUUUGUUUUUCCUUUUUAACAGAGUCCUUAUCUUUUACAGAUACAUACCAAAAUAUUUAUGGAUAAGAUGAUUUUACUUUGGGGAUUUUCUGGGGUUUUCUUCAAAAUGAUCCAGUUUCAGGGGAGGUGGAAUAAACCAAACCAGAGCCGCUGUGAGUUGUAUCACCAUAGCUGAGCAUAGCUAGGCAAUGAUUAUAUGGGAUUCACUGUGAGGUAUGAUUUAAAUUUUCCAUAAUGACAGUUUUAAUUAGUAAUCUGAAAAGAAAAAAAUAAAGGCAGAAAACAUUUUCUUUUAAAAAGACAAACGAUGGUGAAAGAUAGAUAUAUUCUCCCAUUUUCUCUUAUGAGGCGUGAAUACAAUAAACUCCAAGGCCUCCAAAGGAAGCAUUGCCAGCGGGGCUCCCUCCAGAUCACCAAGUACUCUCAGCUUCUCUCUAGGAGUGCAUCCUCACUUUGUCCUCUGAAGAGAAAGCUUUGUGAAUACAAUGCUAUGAAAAAAAAAUGCCUCUUAGUGCAAGCCUGCUGAGCACAUAACAGCAUUCAAUAACUGUUCACUUGAUAAAAAACACUCCUGGUGGAGGGAGGAGAGGCCAGGUCACAGACACACUGGAGUCCCUGUCACCGUGCUCCCCUGAUCUUGCACUCAAUAUCCACGCCCAUGCUCAGCUGGGGGUGACGUGAUUGUCUGAACUUCACCAGGAAGUUCAGGAAACAUCUAAUUCAAGACUGCCCUUCACAGAUACUUUUAUCUGUGUUUUCAGUGAGCUGAAUUGACAAGGUAUUUGAAAAUCAUUGCCAUCAGUGAAAACCAACGCAGCAAUAAGAUCUUCUUCAUCCAGUGAAGUGAAAUAUUGUGACAUUCUCAGUGCUGGCACAGAUAAGAGCAGCAGCAUCACAUAUGCUUGGGGAGAUUGAGUAGAACAUCUCCUGUGACGUGCCUCACCCUAUCUUUCCACCCAAAAAUGAAGACAAUCUGAUAUGCUGAUGGCUUUUCCACACCUUUUCUCUUGGAUCCUAAAUCUGACCACUGCAUCAUCUUUCAAGAUGUCCAAUAGAACAGAACUGAAGUUCAAGGCCUUCAUCAGCCACCUGAAAACUUCCAGUUGGGCACCAGUCCAUUCAUGUGUGUCCUUCAGUUAGAGCUUUUCUCCAAAUAUCACACAGCCUGUGUUUCCAGAAUGCCUAUGUGGCCAGCAGCAAGCUUGCUAAAUGCCUGCAUGAAAACCACAUAAACUUUGUGUAAUGAUUUUUAUCUUUAUUCUGAUAUCUUAUCCAAAAUAUUCCUCACUCAACUUAACCUUCCAGCCACAUGAAUUAGCCUGUGGAGUCUGUACUCACAGUGGAACACAAGGAUUUGGAGGUUCAUCUGCGUUCAAGUUCCUCCCUUUCACCUAGUAAGCUGAGUACCCUCAGCAAAAAACAUCCAGACUCUCUGAGCCUCAUCUUGCUAAAUAAGAUAAUGGGCUAAUUGCCUAGACCCCUGCUGUAGAAUUUUAAUUUGUUUUAUAAUGUGCAUGAACUUUGUCUAAACCAGUAUUUUCCCUGUAAGGUAUUCCAUGAAUUUCAAACUCUACAUAGAGACUGUUCUGAAAUGGAGACCAUCAAACGUCCCCAUCGGUGCAAAGGCUCAAGAUUUUCACAGGUUAAUGCAUUCAGACACUAUACUUACACAAAAAAGGUUAUCACCUGUGAAGGAAUGCUGUUAUGUGGGAAGAUGAGGAUGACAACAACCAUAGUGAGGAUGAUGAUGAUCAUGCCCUUGAUAAUGAAACUGACAGCCCACCCUGAAGUCCACGCUGUAAUACUUCUGUUGUUGGCAUAACAAUAACACUCACGUGGCUUCUCAUAGCAUGAGUUCUAUUUUUCUGCAUGUCAGGAUAUUAUAAGGCAUUUCAGGACAGUUGCUAGGGUGACCAAUGAAUUUUAUGAGGAAAUAUAAAUGUACCUCAAAUCUGUACUUCCUCUCAAAAAGAGACUGGAUUCAAGGCCUAUGUAAUUCAUAGGAAACAAGCUUCAUGGUGCCAUUUUUAAAACAGAACUUGUUUUUCUAGAAGCAGAGCAUCAGCCCUUGCACUGUAGGAGACCACACUCCUAUAAAUAGAUAAGAAAUCUAAGGGUGUUUUGACUUAGGCAGGAAGUCUUAGAACACUGGUGAAGAAUUUUAGUUUUCAGUGUGUUUAUUCAUCAAUACAUUUCAAACACACACACACACACACACACACACACACACACACACACACACACCCCACAGACAGAUCUAGUAACUGGAUCACCAAAAUCCUUUAUUCUAGGCUACACCAGGCCAGCACCUAAUCUAAGAUUCACAUAUUCCCACCCUGUUAAAAAAAAAAGAAAAAAACACAGUCUUGGGCUUUUUUCUCUUGAUCUUAACCUUAACUUCUUGCCUCACCAUCCAUGUCUACAUACACCUAGCUCCUGUUUGGCUUUGUCUUUUGUUCUUAUCCCUUGUAGCUGAAGGUAGAUUUGGCUUUUUCAGUUCCAGGAAACCUCCCCACUUGAUCAAGCACUUACCUGGAGCUUAUCAUCAGUGAUGGUUUCCUUGGUUACCUAACAAUCCUCAGGGGAGAGUUUCAGAGCGUUUCCUUGAGAAUGGCCAGCUCUUGCCAGAGAAGUUUAAGAAACAGUUGCAAUAGACCUUUCCUUUGCUGUUGCUGCUUAGUUGCUUCAGUUGUGUCCUACUCUGUGUGACCCUAUGGACUGCCACCUGCCAGGCUCCUCUGUCCAUGGGAUUCUCUAGGCAAGAGUACUAGAGUGAGUUGCCACGCCCUCCUCCAGGGGAUCUUCCCGACCCAGGGAUCGAACCCAGGUCUCCUGCAUUGCAGCCUGAUUCUUUACCACUGAGCCACCAGGGAAGUCCUAGACCUUUCCUUUAGCAGCCCCCAAAGUUUCAUUCUUUUUUUAAAAAAAAAAUCUUCCCAAGUUUUCUGUUUACUUACCAUAUUCGUUUCAAUUCUCCAUUUUGAUAGCUGUAUCUCCAGAGCACAUUUUUUUCUUGAAGGAUAAAUUUAUUAAUUUAUUCAACAAGUACUUGCGUGGUACCAGGCCACUUAACAGCAGAGUUCCAGAAGCUGCCCGUUAGGUUUGAUUCUGCCUUUGUGGGGGAACCUGUCAUCUGCUUGUGCAGCAUCCCACAUGGGAUAAAAAAUAAGGUCAAGAUGGUGCCUUAAACCACUCUUACUCAAUCUUAUACUGGAAGUUGUUUCCAAAUCCAUGAGGAAGCACAUGUCUUCAUGACCUUGUCUGUUUCAGUGGUUUAUUAGGUCUGACACCGAGGCACAAUCAAUGAAGCAAACAAUAAAUGGAUUUCCUGAACACUUUUCUGGAUUAAAUGACACUAUCCAUAAACUAUUUGGAAAAAGCCCACAAAAUAAAAAUAUUUUACAAAACAUUAUACAUAAUAUUUUGGUAAAUAGGAAGGAUUUCUGAUUGUUUAGUUCCUUUGGCUUUAUUGAAUCUUUCUGUAAAGGCAUGCCUGUGCUGUGUUAAAAAUUGUUUUCAUACUUGGGUAUUGGUUAAGGUUUAUUUUAUUGUUAAUGGCUCUGCUCUAUUGAGGGACCCACAACACAGGGCCAACUCCCCUGGGGAAGCACACAACCCAUCUCAAACUGUGGUAACUUCCUGCAGGUCUCAGCCGCAGUGGGCACUCCCCACACACCCUAACCAUGUCUGCCACAUCCCUUCCUCUCCCCAGCCCAACUGUGCAAGUGAACCUUAGUAAGCUGCUACUUUUGCCCCUUCCUGUCUGGGCAGGGAAUAGACAUCUGAGGGCCACCAGAGGCACAGAAGACAGAAAUGAAAGACAACACAAACAGAGAGAGAUACCAUGUUCUUGGAUUGGAAGAAUCAAUACUAUGAAAAUGACUGUGCUAUCCAGAGCAAUUUAAAGAUUCAAUACAAUCCCUAACAAACUACUAAUGGUAUUUCUCACAGAACUAGAACAAAAAAUUUCAUAAUUUGUGUAGAAACACAAAAGACCCCAAAGAGCCAAAGCAAUCUUGAGAAAGAAAAACAGAGCUGGAGGAAUCAACCUUCCUGACUUUAAACUAUUAGCCUUCUUAUCACAUAACUGAGAGGUAAGAAAAAUAUUAAAAUAAAUUUCUUCUUUAAAAAUCCAAGUCAUAUAAAACUACACUUUGUACAAGAUAUUUGAAACUAUAGAAACUGAGGAGUGGGGAAAGUAGGUUGAGGUUGAAAAAAUAAAGAGACAAAUGUGCCCUCCAAUGGUACAAAAAGAAACCCAAAUGUUAAUUUUUAAAUGUUUUUUGGAUUGAAAAGGCAUUACGUGUUUACUCCAGAACAUUUCUUUUAACUACAGAAAAACACAAAGCGAAAGGAAAUUCACUCACAUUUCCAUGAUCAUAAAUAAUAAUUAAGUUUGGUAUUUUUUCUCCAGUUUUUAUUACAUACACUAUAGACACACUUUUGAUCACAGUGUACAUGCUUAAUUGGUUAAGUGAGGAGAAAGAUAUAUGACUUCCUUUAAUUUUAUUAUUUUUAUCAAUGAAACUUCUAAAUUAUUAAACACAAUUAAAAGACAAUUUAUAGAAUUGGAGAAAAUACUUUCAAAACUUGUGACUGACAAUAGGUUAAUCUCAAAAAAAAUACAAACAGUUCAUGCAGCUCAAUGUAAAAAGAAAAAAAAAAGAUUCUCAGCAACACAAAUUACAAGAGAAGUGCAAAUCAACCAUUGAGUCAUCGGAAACCUUUCUUUUGCUUUCCAGAAGAUGGUGCUGUAAUGCAAGGUUUUGGUUUCUCUUAACUGGACUGAGUCUUCACACUAUACACUUUCACUUUCCACCUCCUCCAAACUCCUGCUCCAUGGAUUGCUGAUUUCUCCUGUCAGGUGGGCUGCACCUCCACAACUUCUCACCUCCCAUGAGUGCCCAGGUCUGCACCCUCCAGGUUGCCUUGAUCCUUGUGGUGGCAAGUGGGGAUCAGUAGACUGUGACUCCCCAGGAUCUCUCCCUCUGAAGUUCUAGCCACUCACUUCCCACAGGUGGGUGGGUCUCUCAGGUGUCUUUGUGUUACUGUGCAGAGGCACUUGUGUUGGGUCAUGGAUGUCUGGUUAAUUGUGAACCAAAAGAAGAGAAAAAGGGAAGGACUCUUGCCACCCCUACUAUGUUGAUGUCACUCAUCAAAAACUGCUUUGAAGAGGAGUGACCCUGCUGCUGCUGCUGCUAAGUCGAUUCAGUCGUGUCCGACUCUGUGCAACCCCAUAGAAGGCAGCCCACCAGGCUCCCCCGUCCC